GAUGAACGCUGGCGGCGUGCCUAAUACAUGCAAGUCGAGCGAACGGACGAGAAGCUUGCUUCUCUGAUGUUAGCGGCGGACGGGUGAGUAACACGUGGAUAACCUACCUAUAAGACUGGGAUAACUUCGGGAAACCGGAGCUAAUACCGGAUAAUAUUUUGAACCGCAUGGUUCAAAAGUGAAAGACGGUCUUGCUGUCACUUAUAGAUGGAUCCGCGCUGCAUUAGCUAGUUGGUAAGGUAACGGCUUACCAAGGCAACGAUGCAUAGCCGACCUGAGAGGGGAUCGGCCACACUGGAACUGAGACACGGUCCAGACUCCUACGGGAGGCAGCAGUAGGGAAUCUUCCGCAAUGGGCGAAAGCCUGACGGAGCAACGCCGCGUGAGUGAUGAAGGUCUUCGGAUCGUAAAACUCUGUUAUUAGGGAAGAACAUAUGUGUAAGUAACUGUGCACAUCUUGACGGUACCUAAUCAGAAAGCCACGGCUAACUACGUG
rnacentral:rRNA from 1 species